CCAAUGCACAUCAAAGUCAUAAUAGCAAAGCAAUUUUAAGGGUAAAAACAUGGAAAGAAGAUCAUAUGGUCUUAUUUUGCUGCUUCUUGUGCUCUUCAUUUAUGAAAGUGAAAAAAUGAAGAUAAAUGCAGCAACCUGCUAUGGAGAUAUAUUUGGCAAUACAACAGCAUGCACUCCACAAAAUUGUACGAGAAGGUGUAAAUCAGCUGGAAAGACAGGAGGAGAAUGUCACAUCUUCGACAUAUGCAUAUGUAGUUACCCUUGCUAGUCCAGCUGUAUCUCUGGACAGAUCAUUCCAUUUAUUGGAGUUAAAUAAAGCCAAUAAACAUAGUCUUUUUUUUCUUU